AGCUGGUUGGAGCAGGAAAACAUCAGGAUGAUGUAGCUUCAGGAAGAAGAAAAGGAUGCACUCAGGAAGAGUGGAAAAGGAUUGGUGUCAGGGUGACGCUUAGGAUGUUUCAGGAUUGAAACCAAGGACACCUCCAGGACGGAGAUUGAGAGCCAGCACAGGAAUGUUGGCGGGUCAGGAAGACUGAGGAACUGCAUCAGGACGAUGUUAUAGGACUUAGCAAGGAUAGUUUGGUCAGGAUGGCCGAGGGAAAAGUUUUCAAGGAUCGAGCAGGGAGCACACAUUGUAGCAGGAUAGCUAUAAAACGAACCGGGGGCACUGUUGAUGCAGUGCCCCCAAUUUUUUGC
rnacentral:other from 1 species